CAGCCGCCGCGGGAAUACGAAGGGGGCUAGCGUUGCUCGGAAUGACUGGGCGUAAAGGGCGCGUAGGCGGCGGCCAAAGUCAGGCGUGAAAUUCCCGGGCUCAACCUGGGGGCUGCGUUUGAUACUUGGUUGCUUGAGUGGGGAAGAGGGUCGUGGAAUUCCCAGUGUAGAGGUGAAAUUCGUAGAUAUUGGGAAGAACACCGGUGGCGAAGGCGGCGACCUGGUCCUUUACUGACGCUGAGGCGCGAAAGCGUGGGGAGCAAACAGGAUUAGAUACCCCAGUAGUCCCUGUCUCUUAUAC
rnacentral:rRNA from 1 species